rnacentral:rRNA from 1 species
AUUGGACGCUGGCGGCAUGCCUUACACAUGCAAGUCGAGCGGCAGCACGGGUGCUUGCACCUGGUGGCGAGUGGCGAACGGGUGAGUAAUACAUCGGAACAUGUCCUGUAGUGGGGGAUAGCCCGGCGAAAGCCGGAUUAAUACCGCAUACGAUCUACGGAUGAAAGCGGGGGACCUUCGGGCCUCGCGCUAUAGGGUUGGCCGAUGGCUGAUUAGCUAGUUGGUGGGGUAAAGGCCUACCAAGGCGACGAUCAGUAGCUGGUCUGAGAGGACGACCAGCCACACUGGGACUGAGACACGGCCCAGACUCCUACGGGAGGCAGCAGUGGGGAAUUUUGGACAAUGGGCGAAAGCCUGAUCCAGCAAUGCCGCGUGUGUGAAGAAGGCCUUCGGGUUGUAAAGCACUUUUGUCCGGAAAGAAAUCCUUGGCCCUAAUACGGUCGGGGGAUGACGGUACCGGAAGAAUAAGCACCGGCUAACUACGUG